UACGUAGGCAGCAAGCGUUGUUCGGAAUUACUGGGCGUAAAGAGUGUGUAGGCGGUGCUCUAAGUUCGUUGUGAAAUCUCCCGGCUUAACUGGGAGGGUGCGGCGGAAACUGGAGUGCUUGAGCGCGGGAGAGGAAAGCGGAAUUCCUGGUGUAGCGGUGAAAUGCGUAGAUAUCAGGAGGAACACCUGUGGUGUAGACGGCUUUCUGGACCGUAGCUGACGCUGAGACACGAAAGCGUGGGUAGCAAACAAG
rnacentral:rRNA from 1 species